rnacentral:lncRNA from 1 species
GGUAUGCUACAAGUGAAUAUAUGCGACAAAAAAUGAAUCCUAAACAUUGCUGUUAUUUUAAAUGGUUUCUAUUAACCAUUAUUGUAAAUGACAUAGGGACAAACUGUACAUCAACAUACUUACAGGUAUAAUUUUUUUAUGUAAAUGGAUACUAACAAAUACUGCAAAAUAAAACAAAAGAAAAGAAAGUAAAAAAAGUAAAAAAAUACAGCUAACCUU